GUCUGUCGGGUAGCACAGGUUGCUAACGUGCUGCGGUGUUAAAGAUUUCGAAAUUAUGGUCCAACUUUGUCAGUGGGGAAUUUGCAAUCCCGACACUCAUUACUCAGAGCGUGUAGAGGGCGCAAUGCAUUUGUUUUUACAUUUCCGAACCCAAACGGAGUCUGGAAUAAUGUAAGAAAUGGAUCAAGGCCUGCAGCCGACCUCAUGUCCCGUUGAAUGAAAUUGUGAUCAACGGCAACUACUACAUGUACAAAGAUUACCAUGCCACCCACCGUAAGAGGGAGACAUCCCAUUAAGGUUUUACAACCAACUCAAGAGGAAGCAUCUUCCUGCACAGAAACUUCUCAAUUUGGAACAAAGAGAAGGCAGUGGGACUGAGUGCCUAUUUCUUCCUCUCACAUGGCUUUCACUCUGUCGCUUUCUUCUGCAGUAUUUACUGAACAAAAUUGUCAUAACUCGGCAUUGUUGGCCAGUAAGAAGGAUUUCUCACUCCCCAGUCACCGUGGCUUUGCCAGAUGUAUUGCACAAAAAGGCUUGAAACUGGGUUGCGGUUUUUAGGGUUCUCUUGUCAUAAAGUUUUAGAGCAAUUUAAAUUAUUCUCAAAGCAGAUGUGUGUGGUAUCAAGCAAAUUGAUUAAAAAGACAAUUGGGAGUGUAGUGAAAGACAAAAAUUCUAAUCUGACAUAAGGCAGUCUUCAAUUUUUACUUAAUUCUAACAACACUAGCUGCUAUUUUUGAGGCAAAUCUAUAUUUGACUAGAAUUUAACAAGAUUUUAGCUAAGUCAAUCAUUACUCAAUGAUUGAUGGUGUAAUAAGGAAUUGUUGCAGCAUCUCUUGGUUUGAGUGUUGGAGCAAGAAUUUAAGUUUGUAACCAGCUUAACUAGUUUAGCAACAGUGCUAAUGCUAAAGUCAAAUUUGCUAGCAAACUGGGCUUUUUAACCUUUUGAAAGCUGACCCCAGUGAAGUGCAAAUUUGAACUUGUUAGAACAAAUUCUACAGUCUAGCUUUAUUUCAGUAACAUUCUGUGCCUUGGCUUGAUAGCAACAACGCUAAUGCUAAAGUACAACUUGCAAACAGCCGAGUUGCCUUUGGGGUGUCAUUGUCAACAUUUUGAAAUAUAGCUGAAAUUGCAAGGGAGAAGGUUUGCACACCACCUUGUUUGAAUGGAUUUAAGAAGUUGAGAAUACCAUUUUAUUCUUUUGAUUAGUUUACUGACAGCCCUAAUGCUAUAUUUCAACUUUCUAGUCUUUCAUUAGCAUUGAAAGUCGAUGUCAGUGAAUACCACAGAUUACUGGUUAAGUAAAUGGUUUAAAUGCACAUUAUAGAAUACAUUUUUAUCCAAGUCUAUUUGAGUAAUAUUUUUGCCAUAACCAGCUUAGCAGCAGCACUAAUGCUCAAAUCAAACUUGAUAUCAAGACGCAUUCAGUAAUAAAUUAUUAUUUAUUGUUUCUUUACAAGGUGGAAGAGAAAAACAUUGAAAAAAAAUAAUGUUUGCUUAAAUAUUAAUUCAAAUCUUUCAAAAUAAACUGGGUAUAUAUUGUGACACCAACUUUAUUGGCCUACUCUAAAACUUUGUUCUAUCUGUGUAAAUGUAUCAAUUUGUUUUCUGUAUUUUUUAAUAAGUGACCUGCUGUAUUUCCACCAACAGGUCUAGAAGUAUUAUUAAGCAGAUAAUCUUCACCAAAACAUAAGUUUACAUUUGAAAUCUAGUAAAUUUGAUAAGCCAUUUUCACAAGUUAUUCAUCUGAAUUUUCUCUCUGAAUGUCAGGGGUUUUUUAUGUAUCAUUUGCAGAAAAAAAUUAAAUAGGUACAAUAUUUACUUCUGUCAAACAGGAAAUCAAAAGAAAAAGUUCUCCAUGCAGACAUUAAAUCACAAUACGUUGUCGACUGCUCAUUUUUUUAAAUACUAGGCUUUACUUUUAGUCAGGUGAAACUGAAAAAACUUUUUUGCCUAUACAUUAUAAUGCAGGGGAUACUUCUCUUCUCACACAGGUGUUUAAGAGAUCCCCCCUCUGAUAAAUCAUGAUUUGUAAACUUUCUCACAGACAGCACUGACAGGUUUCCCUUUGAUAAUGUAGAAAAAUGGAGAAAGCGAGAGCUGGGCUUAAGUAGAGCUGUGAUUUAGAGCGCAGAGAUGCAGCAUCUCUCCCUUCCAGUGGAGGCCCUCCUGGGUUUGAUUUAAUUCUCUCCCCGCACUAUUAAAAAGGCCUUCCACUACCUUCAGCGCGUGCACCUUGCUGUCAUAACUGGCACAAAAUCAUUAAUCAAUGCCGCUUGUAGCCAGUGCGACUAAGGCCCUUCGCAGUGUAUAUUUUUCCAUUAUUGAUUGUGUGUGUAAUGCAUGAAGAAGUACAAAGAUAGGUGUCCUCCUGUGUUGGAAUGACCAUAUUAGGCCAUGAGAUGAGGGAACUAUCUGGGCUUCAUGUAGCACUUAUCAUUCCUGUCAAGAGGAAAACUUUCUUCUCAAAGUGUUUCUUAAUUUAACUGUUGCGUCCUCCCGUCCCCACCCCCCUUUUUGCUUUUUGCUUCCUGAACUCAACAAUGAUCCUGUGCUGGAUGUAUGAUGAGCAGUUAUUUGGUGCGAUAAACUGAAAGGCGCUGAAUGUCAGUGUGUCCCCCCUUUGUUGUUUAAUUUAUUUUCUUUUCAAAGUGAAGGGAGGUGUCCUUGCUGUGAGUGUUAGUCAUUGAUGUGGCUAUAGUUAGUCUGUCCCCUGCUGCGUCUGUCUGUUGGAGAUGCUACUUCCUCUUUCCUGCUCGUUUGCCCAGAGACGCUCACCUCAGUUUGUUUGACUGCGGUUAGAACGUUGUAGGGUGGGCUUCAUGAAGAACAAAAGAUUAUAGACUGUGGACAAAUCUCUGCAAAACAAAGCACACUUGACAGACACUGUUGGAAGGUAAAUGCAGUUUGACCUGUCCUUUUUGAAGGUAUUAGCUGGAUCGUUUUCUGUGGUGUUAAAAGUUCUUUAGUUCUUUCACUUUUAAAACAUUAGAGAUGAACAACACAAAAAGGAUACUGGUAUUUUUUAUGUUCUAUUUAGUUAUUUCAGUAAUCUUCUGUUUCUCUGUGUGUAAACUCUAGUGUUGACAGUGCAAUAUUACAGAGUGAAAUGAAUCACAUGCGGUGUUGUCUAAUUCUGUGUACGCUUUAAAUGUUCUGAUUGUAAACAUCUUUAAAAUGCCUUCCACAUUCAUGGGGCGUGCUCUGGUGGCGUAGA